rnacentral:rRNA from 1 species
UACGAGGGGGGCAAAUGGUUGUUCGGAAUCACUGGGCGUAAAGGGAGCGUAGGCGGGUUCUUAAGUUAGGUGUUUAAUCCCGGGGCCCAACCCCGGACCGGCACUUAAAACUGGGAUCUUGAAUAGUGGAGAGGUCGGUGGAAUUGGGGGUGUGAGCGGUGGAAUGCGUAGAGAUCCCCAAGAACACCAGUUGCGAAGGCGGCCGACUGGACACAUAUUGACGCUGAGGCUCGAAAGCAGGGGGGAGCAAACAGG